GCAUGUUUUCACCCACCUCUCCUCCCCUCGCUUGCUCUCUUGCAGUGAAUACCACAAGCCUCCCACCACUCGGUCCAGAUUUAGACCUCAACUUUUCCCAGACUUUAAGGACCAGCUUGUUGAAUUGUGCUGUACCGUUCCACUUGUUCACCAUAUCUCAACCUCAUCAUCAGGAUGGGCACGGAAUCCUCCAGAUGUCGGCCAAUGGAACAAAGGAUUUUUAGCUUUGGGUUCUGAUGCCAAGGAAGAUUGCCUCACCACUUCUCCAAUCAUGGAGCCGCUUGCCGAGGUUCCCUUAUUUGAGAUGGAGCUGGACGAGGACACUGCGGUUGAUGUCUUAAUGGCCAACACGGGCAGUUGUUCACCUCCAUGGACAGAUGCUACAACUCCUUCUGCGGUCCCAGAGCGAGAUGCUUUUAUUUACAUGAACUUCAUGAAAAACCAUAGCUGCUAUGAUGCCAUUCCUACCAGCUCUAAGCUAGUCAUCUUUGAUACUGAACUGCAGGUGAAGAAGGCUUUCUUUGCUCUGGUGGCUAACGGUGUACGAGCAGCACCCCUGUGGGACAAUAAGAGCAAAUGUUUUGUAGGAAUGCUGACCAUCACAGACUUUAUCAACAUUCUCCAUCGUUAUUACAAGUCUCCGCUGGUUCAGAUCUACGAGUUGGAGGAGCACAAGAUAGAGACGUGGCGAGAGAUCUAUCUGCAGUACUCCACCAACAGGCUCAUCAGCAUCACUCCUGAAGCCAGUCUGUUUGACGCCAUCUACUCACUGUUAAAGAACAAGAUACACCGACUUCCCGUCAUCGACCCGACAUCAGGGAAUGUCCUGCAUAUCUUGACACACAAGCGUAUCCUCAAGUUCCUCCACAUAUUUGGUUCUAUGAUUCCAAAGCCAUGGUUCCUGCAAAAACAGAUCGGUCAGCUGGCUAUCGGUACCUUUAAGGAGAUCGCAACAGUGCAGGAAUCUGCAUCGGUCUAUGAGGCCCUGAGCAUCUUUGUGGAGCGACGAGUGUCCGCUCUGCCUGUGGUCAAUGAGCAAGGUAAAGUGGUGGCGCUAUACUCCAGAUUUGAUGUCAUUAAUCUUGCAGCCCAGAAGAACUACAACAACUUGAACAUGACCAUGACAGAGGCUGUUGCCUCUAGAGCGUGCUGCGUGGAAGGAGUGCUCAAAUGUUACCCUCAUGAAACCUUAGAGACUAUCAUUGACCGCAUCGCUAAGGCUGAGGUGCAUCGUUUGGUGUUGGUUGACGCCAAGGAUGUGGUGAGAGGAAUCGUCUCACUUUCUGACCUCCUCCAGGCUCUGGUCCUCAGCCCAGCAGUCCCUAGUCACCCCAGAUGUGUGGCUGGCCCAAUCUUCAUCCACAAAGGCCACGACUGGCUUCUCGUUGUCCACACUUCAUCUUCUCCAGUAGUGGCUUAUGUUCCAAACGCUUUUUCCCAUUCCCAAAUUAUUAAUCUACAAAAAACAUCUAAACUCAGACACCAGUGACAGUCUGCUACUCUACCUUGAUGCUACUCGACCCUUGUGCACCUUUGGGUUAAAAAAAAAAAAACCAUCAAUCACCAUCUGCCAAAGACAGAGUCCUCAUUCUGCAGCUUUUGCAAACACCUUCUUGACUCCAGCUGAAAAUGUUAGCAGCUCCUCAGCCCCUCACCUUGCAGAUUUUAUGAAUGAUCUUGUUUUCAAGAGGGAGGAAAAUGAGAUAACGGAGAAGAGUGGACAAGUGUGACCAACCAAAUCCAGGUUACAUUCAGCUGGAAAAUUGAGAAUCAAAAAAUCUGUGGACUUGAUUCAACUUUCCUUUAUUGAGACAUUUUGUUUUAUUGAAUGAAACAUGCUGGCGGACUUUGACAAAAAAGUGAUCAUCUCUAUUCAGACUGAAUUAUGAUGUAUUGAUGCCCCGAAACUUACAAGUGAAUGUUUGAUUCUGCUGUGAAAUGAGCAUCAGCAUCAUGUUACAUCUAUGUUGUUCUUCUCCACCUGCAAUGUCUUUUUUAAAAUGUUUUAAUGUGAUUCUUUCUUGCAGCUAGCUUGUGUUAUUUAUAUAUAGUAGUAAAAAAAUGGAGCUUGUAUUUUUGAAUCUCCAAAUACAGGGAAGUCAGCCGCUGAGGUUAAAUUAAUUCCUGUUCAUUCAAAUAAGAAUAAAGGAAAGGUCUAAUCUUUA